rnacentral:rRNA from 1 species
GUGAGUAGUUCAGAGUUUGAUCCUGGCUCAGGAUGAACGCUAGCUACAGGCUUAACACAUGCAAGUCGAGGGGCAGCAUGUUGGUUGCUUGCAACCAAUGAUGGCGACCGGCGCACGGGUGCGUAACGCGUAUCGAACCUGCCCUAUACUCGGGGAUAGCCUUGCGAAAGUAAGAUUAAUACCCGAUGUUGUUAUUACAUCGCAUGAUGUUUUAACCAAAGAUUUAUCGGUAUAGGAUGGCGAUGCGUGACAUUAGGUAGUAGGUGAGGUAACGGCUCACCUAGCCAACGAUGUCUAGGGGUUCUGAGAGGAAGGUCCCCCACACUGGAACUGAGACACGGUCCAG